rnacentral:lncRNA from 1 species
CACCUUCCGUGCUGAUUUUUCUCAGCCUCUGAAGUGAACAGAGCUACAAUCUCCCGUGCAAUCUCGAGGGCAGUUGUGUUUCAGAUUUCAGAAGAUUUGCAGGUUCCUCGGAAGGCGAUGCCGUUCAGGCUAGAAAGAUGGCCUCGGGGUAAGGUGCAAACUCAUGGCUGCCUAGAGCAACUUGACUCCAAUACAAGGAAGAACCAGCCUGAGGUGAAAAAAAAAAAGAGAUGCUGGCAAGCAGAGAAGCAAAGACAAGCAGAGAUAAAUCAGGCUUUAACACAGGACCACACACACCUCAGCACGCUGCUGCCUUCGCCCAGCCCUGCCCACUCACUUCUUUCUCCUUAUUUCCCAACCGUGCCACAGAGAGUGAACUCCAGGCUUGAGGAACAGCUUAGGGGCAGGGCACACUCCCAUCAAUGUAAGACUGGAUUCAGGUUCCACCCUUAGCUCUGGGGGAAACUUGGACAAACUCCAUGGCUGGGUAAAUUAAGCCAGCAAGAUCCAAGUGCAUGCUGUUGCCAUUGGCUUGAAGGGCAUCCAGCUUGUCCUGUGAAUUUGCUUUUCCAGAACUGUACAACCAAUGAGAGGCUCCUAAAAUUUAACCAGUUGGUUUGAGCUGUCUUUUGUUAAACUGCUUUUGUGUAUAUGAAACCAUUGACCGUUUU